UGGGGAAUAUUGGACAAUGGGCGCAAGCCUGAUCCAGCCAUGCCGCGUGGAUGAUGAAGGCCUUAGGGUUGUAAAGUCCUUUCGGCGGGGAAGAUAAUGACGGUACCCGCAGAAGAAGCCCCGGCUAACUUCGUGCCAGCAGCCGCGGUAAUACGAAGGGGGCUAGCGUUGCUCGGAAUCACUGGGCGUAAAGCGCACGUAGGCGGCUUUUUAAGUCAGGGGUGAAAUCCUGGAGCUCAACUCCAGAACUGCCUUUGAUACUGAGAAGCUUGAGUCCGGGAGAGGUGAGUGGAACUGCGAGUGUAGAGGUGAAAUUCGUAGAUAUUCGCAAGAACACCAGUGGCGAAGGCGGCUCACUGGCCCGGUACUGACGCUGAGGUGCGAAAGCGUGGGGAGCAAACAGGAUUAGAUACCCCGGUAGUCCCUGAGCGGGCUGGCAAGGCGCAU
rnacentral:rRNA from 1 species